rnacentral:rRNA from 1 species
UAACUGCGAGUGAACCGGGAAAAGCUCAAAUUUGAAAUCUGGCAGCCUAUCUUUUUUCUUUGGCUGUCCGAGUUGUAAUCUAGAGAAGUGCUUACCCGUGCUGGACCCAUGUAUAAGUCUCCUGGAAUGGAGCGUCGUAGAGGGUGAGAAUCCCGUCUUUGACAUGGACUUGCCAGUGCAUAGUGGUGUGCUCUCAAAGAGUCGAGUUGUUUGGGAAUGCAGCUCUAAAUGGGUGGUAAACUCCAUCUAAAGCUAAAUAUUGGCGAGAGACCGAUAGCGAACAAGUACCGUGAGGGAAAGAUGAAAAGGACUUUGGAAAGAGAGUUAAACAGUAUGUGAAAUUGUUGAAAGGGAAACACUUGAAGUCAGUCGUGUCUGCUAGGGAUCAACCCAUCUGAUUUUUUUUU